rnacentral:rRNA from 1 species
AAAUUGAAGAGUUUGAUCAUGGCUCAGAUUGAACGCUGGCGGCAGGCCUAACACAUGCAAGUCGAACGGUAACAGGGAGCAGCUUGCUGCUUCGCUGACGAGUGGCGGACGGGUGAGUAAUGUCUGGGAAACUGCCUGAUGGAGGGGGAUAACUACUGGAAACGGUAGCUAAUACCGCAUAACGUCGC